rnacentral:sRNA from 1 species
UACAGACUAACUUGUUUCUACCAACACUAAAGCAAUAAAAAUAAUAGCCAUCACAAAAUGUAUGCACUUCAAAUUAGACGAAAUAUUGAGUGUAGCAUUAACAAUAACGUCAGAAAAUGUUUGGGGCUAAGGUAACUCAAGUUGGAGAGCCGUAUUGUGGGUGACCUUAUUGCUCGGUUCAAAGAAUACUUGUGUAUGUGAAAAAACUGUAUCUAGGGUGAGUUCUUCGUUCUUCAUCUACCCUAUCUAUGAUUCUACGAUGGCUCAAGAACACUCAUUCUUCAGCUGUUGAGAGACUCUUUAUGGGAAGGGAAUAAAUGAGACUGGAGACAUGAAUGAAAUCAGAUUUGUAGUUUUUGCAACUAUCUAUGAUAAGGCUAGCUUUGAAAAUAAUCGCCCAAUAUAUGCACGUUACAAGUACAUAAGUUUCAGGGCAUAAACACUGCACAAUUUAUUUGAAAAGUUUCAAAUGAUUCAUCAAAA